rnacentral:rRNA from 1 species
UACCAGCACCCCGAGUGGUCGGGACGAUUAUUGGGCCUAAAGCAUCCGUAGCCGGUUCUACAAGUCUUCCGUUAAAUCCACCUGCUUAACAGAUGGGCUGCGGAGGAUACUAUGGAGCUAGGAGGCGGGAGAGGCAAGCGGUACUUAGUGGGUAGGGGUAAAAUCCGUUGAUCCAUUGAAGACCACCAGUGGCGAAGGCGGCUUGCCAGAACGCGCUCGACGGUGAGGGAUGAAAGCUGGGGGAGCAAACAGG